AAUUUUGGACAAUGGGGGCAAGCAUGAUCCAGCCAUGCCGCGUGAGUGAAGAAGGCCUUCGGGUUGUAAAGCUCUUUCAGACGGGAAGAAACGGACUUGGUUAAUAACCAUGUUAAUGACGGUACUGUCAGAAGAAGCACCGGCUAACUACGUGCCAGCAGCCGCGGUAAUACGUAGGGUGCGAGCGUUAAUCGGAAUUACUGGGCGUAAAGCGUGCGCAGGCGGUUUUGUAAGACAGAUGUGAAAUCCCCGGGCUCAACCUGGGAACUGCAUUUGUGACUGCAAGGCUAGAGUGCGGCAGAGGGGGGUAGAAUUCCACGUGUAGCAGUGAAAUGCGUAGAUAUGUGGAGGAACACCGAUGGAGAAGGCAGCCCCCUGGGUCGAUACUGACGCUCAUGCACGAAAGCGUGGGGAGCAAACAGGAUUAGAUACCCUGGUAGUCCACGCCCUAAACGAUGUCAACUAGGUGUUGGGGAAGGAGACUUCUUUAGUACCGCAGCUAACGC
rnacentral:rRNA from 1 species